ensembl:lncRNA
GCCACUCAUUAUAAGACACUGUGAGUCUCUGCAUGCUGCCUUUAUGGAGCUACAGCUGUUUGUAUACACUGAACAAAAAGCUUUGUAGCUGUAUACUGACUCCUGACACUACAACACAUCACACAGACACACACAGCCUCCUGUUUCCUUCUCACACACAAAGAAACAGUCAGGAUGAAAAUUAGUCUCAGGGAAAUAUGUUUAAUAUGCAGCCAGUACUUCCUGUUUUAUGUCAAAGUUAAAUCUCACCUGCAGAGACGAACACGGCAAACAUCAAAGUGGAGCAGAGUGACGUAAUUACAGCAAACAUUUCCGGGUUCUUGAUCUGACUCUUAGCUUUUUCUAAAUGUCUCAGUCUGUCAUGAGAUUAAAAUUUAGGCUUAAAAAGCAGUUGGAUCAGUAACGUUGGUUUACAGGAAGUUGUGUCAUUGUGACGUUUGGUGCGCUGCACUGCGGGGUCGAGCAGAAACAAGUGCGUCACAACAGAAGAGGUGAAGUCGAAAGAAAGUUUUAUUGCUUCAGUUCUUGAAGCAUCCUGGCAGGAAAGAUCUGAACCUGUUUCAUGUGUCAGUCGUCAUGUAUGAACAGUUUGUGUCUUUGAAUCAGAAGUUUGUUUUGUCUCUGCACCGAGUUUGUUUCCCACAGCAAGUUUCAAGCUCACAUCCUGCUCCGCCUCUUCCUGAUUCAGCUUCAGCUCCGAGGUCGGAGGUCUGUGUCUGCCGAGCAGCUUAUCAAACAACACCGCGACAUAACUCUGACUAACCUGAGAACCAGCAGCAGCCUGCACCAGUUUACAAAACCAGUAGCCUGUGUAAAUCACCAGUUCAUCCAGUGCUGUCCAAUUCAAAGAACAAAGAAUCACCAGUUUUAGAAUUUGAGGUUUUCUGCUAAAUUUCCUCCUUUUCUAUGGAGGUGAAUUGUAAAGUGAAACCUUCAAACAGAUUUUUUUAGCUUAAAGACUAAAAGUGAGUUUUAGAAACAGAAAGAAAAACUUACUGUUGUUGUGAAGGACGUCUGGAAGCCUCAAAGGCCUCUGUGGUCAUCAGGGUGGAAAAUCUAAAGAAAAUAAAACACAUUAGAUUUCUGUGUCUCUGUCACAGCUGCAUCACAGACACGGACGUCCACACAGACCCACCAGCCUCGUGUCUCCUUCACACACACAGAGAAACUGAAUCAAUAUGAAAAUAAUUCUUUGAGAAAUAUUAUUAAUAAUUUAACCAGAGUGACACUCAGUUUGUUUUCUAACAGUUAAAUCUCACCUGCAGAGACAAACAUGAAGACUCCAUCGAACAUCAGCAAAGUGGAGCAGAGUGACGCAGUUACAGCAGACAUGUCCGUGUUCUCUGUUUCUGCUCAUCUGACUCUUAGUUUGUCCUAAAUGUCUGAGUCUGUUGGUGUUUUCACUCAAUAACUGAACCUGAGUUUAAAUCUGACGACACAAGAUUAAAUUUAAGGUUUAAAUAAAGCUGAAAGUCACUGACUGUUAGAACCGAUCUGUCGUUCAGCCGCUCCGUCAAACUCCACUCUUACAGGAUGCAACGUCUCGUACGGAAGUGACGUUGGAGUCACGUUUGAUGCGUUGGACCAAUAAAAUUUGAAUGAUCGAGCAAUGAUUUCAUGGUUCAGGAUUUACAGGUUUAACGUCCACUAGAAAGGAAAUGACAUUUUAAAUGAAGUCUCACUCAGUUUUGAAACAGUUUUUCUGUUCAAACAUUUUUGUGGGUGGAUGUUAACCAAACUGUAACCAUGACAACUGAAACUUUUUACCUAAAAGACUGAAAAUGAUUUUUAGAAAAAGACACAAACACUUACUGUUGUUCUCAAGAAAUCUGUUAAAUCCUCAAACACUCGUCUGAUCAUCAGGAUGGAACAAAAAUCCAUAUAAAGAUAAAAAGUGUGAGGUUGGUGUAAUCCAUCUGCUUUCUCUGUAGGUCAAAAUGAACCUACUGAAGGUUUAUUCAACACAAGCAAUUAGAAGAAAUAGUAAAUUAAAAUACUCUGUGUGUGAACUCGACUGUGUACCAACC